rnacentral:misc_RNA from 1 species
UCCCGGUUUCCCGGGCAGUCCCAUCAGAGUGCCUUCUUACGAAGUAGCAACUGACAGCAGGGGUUGCGCUCGUUAAAGGACUUAACCCAACAUCUCACGACACGAGCUGACGACAGCCAUGCAGCACCUGUGUAUAUGUCUUAGGUUUCCCUAAGAAAGCCUCGUUUCUGAGGAUGUCAUAUACAUGUCAAACCUAGGUAAGGUUUCUCGCGUAGUGUCGAAUUAAACCACAUGUUCCACCGCUUGUGCGGACCCCCGUCAAUUCCUUUGAGUUUUAGUCUUGCGACCGUAAUCCCCAGGCGGAUCACUUAACGCGUUAGCUGCGACACUGAUUCUGCAGAGCAGAACCAACGUCUAGUGAUCAUCGUUUACAGCGUGGACUAC